CAGGUGAUUGGAAUACCUGAGAACUUUGGGAACCAGUGCCUCAAAACAUCUUGAAAUGCAGGAGAGAGGUUCUGAACUGAUCAUUUUUAUUCAGGCAUCAUUAAAUCUUCCUUCAAUUCCAUUGCUGAAAUAGGAGGCACAACCAUUUAAAUUAACAACAAAUAAGCCAUAUUUUCUUCUGUAAAAAGAAGAAGUUCAGAAUUUCUCCAAGAACACAUAUAAAGCACCGGUUCCCAUGAAAAGGCAGUGUUUGCUCAACUUCUUCAGUCUAGAGG